CAUUUUUGAAACCCAAGAAGUUUUGCUUCUUCACCGGAGUUCUGCCAUUACUCUUUAUAGACCUUACAUGGGCAAGAAUAGAAGCGAGAAAAGUGAUUGGGUUACCGCAAUGUAUAUAACUUUUGGCCGUUUCUGAUUUGGAAGUAUGCUAAAAAUGGGACUAGAUAUCCACAAUCUAGCUACUCAGUCAGAGACAGGAGAGAGAGAGAGAGAGGGAGAGAGAUAAAAGAGAUUAAUUUUGUGUAAACCAAGGCAACAGAAUAUAUAAGAGUAG
rnacentral:lncRNA from 1 species